rnacentral:lncRNA from 1 species
AUAAAGAAAUCUUUCGCUGUGAGCAAAGCUGUAGUGUAGUGUAAAUGUCUAGAUUGAUUCCAAACACCUGAAAUUUUAUGACUGUGGCAUUUCUCGCAGACCAAGAUCUGAACCUUUAACUAAUUAGUAUGUAUAAACUAGACCAAAAGAAAGUCCCUUACCCAUAAAAUAGCAGAGCUACAAGACUGUGCUGGCUAGCCAGAGGUUUGCCCCUUCACAGAUUUCUGAACUAAUCAAUCAAACAAACAAACAACAACAACAACAAAAACAAUGAAACAGGAGACCCACCACUCUCUGGUCUGAAACUGCACAAUAAUAGGCUGUGUACCAGAUGAUCUUGGGUGCUUUGAAAAGGCCAGGAGAGGCAACUCAGUUUAGGUUGUGUUUCAGGGUGGCUGAUCCUAAGCACCAAACUGUUAACUCUAGCUAGUUAGUCUUUAAAUCAGUGCAUUAUGCAAUCUGUUCAGGAGUUAAUAUGUUGUGCGCAAGGCCUUAUAAGGUGGGCACAUUUCCUUUUCUAACGCUUGACCUACUCUCAACCAUGAAGUAGUUAUCUAGUAAGCUCAGUUCUGAUACUGUUCUAAACCCUGAUUCUGAGCACAUGACCAAUGAGGAAGUAAAAGGAACAGAAAGAACACAUCUAGAUGGUGAAAGCAUCUCACCUACAAGGUGGUGUGGUGCAGUCAUGGGCCCAAUUCUAAGGCAGGAGCCAUGGGUCCACAGCUUGGCACUGCUAGACUUACGCCAAGAAUAAGCCCCUUGCAUUCUGUGGGUUCAGCCUCUGAGUCUUAAAAACACAGGUUGAUUUGAGUUGAUCUUAGAAACUCCCUACCUGAUUCUGUAGUUGAUUAAAAUUCCACAGUAAUUUCAUGUAGAAAGUUUUCAUAACCUUGAAAAUGAAAUGAUGCAUUUUUUUUUUCAUUUACUGGUUUUAGAGCUAUAUUUUCAGGGAAAUGCGUUUCAGAAGGGAAAACACUCCAAGCAUUCCAACCUGGACCAUUUACUCCUGAGGAAACAAGAGGCCUGUUCUUUGGGGCUCUUGGACUCUGCCUCAGAGACUAGGAAACUACCCAAAUCCUAACUGACUUUGAUAGAAUGAUUUUGUUAAUCUGGUAUUUCCCACCAGUCAUCAAUCAGGCGCUCUGAGGACACACAUUCUACCUUGAAGUCACUUCAAUCCUGUGUGUCCCGGAACACCCUAACAAUCAUUUAUAAUUUCUUUGGUGUAUCGUGGAUCAAGAGCUUUCUAUUCUUUUUUCCUUAAAUGUCUGUUAUAAUUUUAAUGAAACUUUUUUACUGGUCCCUGUUCUCCUUAUAUAAAAUCAG